rnacentral:miRNA from 1 species
GGUGGCCGGCGUGCAGCCGCCGGCGGCCAAUGGCUGGCGGGGUCGCGGGCGGAGCCGGGGGCGGAGCUC